AAAGAAGCUUAACGUCAGCAUCUUCUCACUUUAGGCGGCACUGCAGUCGGUGUGUGUUUGUGUAGCUACCGAGGCGUCUUGAAGUUUCGAGAUACGAUUCUCCGUCAUCCGGGCAGCCAGGAAGCAAAGCAAAGCAGUAUCACCAGUCACUGCACUAACACUACGAGCACUUCCAGCUUCAAGUCAGACAUCACAGAAGACAGAUGAACCAAUCGUACAAUGUGUGCCCAUAGAGGAGAAAAAACUUAAAAAUUUGCAUUCGGUAGACAGGAGAACUUUAGUUUGCGUGGCAAGAUAGAAGGAACAAGAGGAAGAGGAAGACCUAAAGAAAUUUUAUGGGCGGACUGGUGAGGACGAUCGGAAUGAGAGCCAGUGUUGUUAAAAUACUGCAAAUGAAGAGAGAGUAAAGAGAGUGGUCUGCUAUGGUAGCCUGCUUCUUCAGGGACACGGCACCGUCGGAGGAGGAGGAGGAGGAGGGGGAGAGGCGUAGGUUAAGAGGAAGAUCAAUUAGAGGUAUUUAAUACGCAUAAAGAAUAUAGAAAGACUAAUGUAAACAAAAUCCGUUUGGCUAAUUGGUUAAUUAUUACAACAGGACUAGAAGUUGCAGGUUCGAGCUUGAUAAAAGUAAGAUGUAAAAAGAUGGGAAGAUAUUUGUUAUCGAAUAGAGUGGUAAAUGACUGGAAUUGGCUGUCUUAUAAGGUUGUUAGCAGCGAGUAAAUAGGGAGCUUUAAAAGAUGAAUAGAUAAAAUUAUGGACAGGGACAAAACGUGGAUAUAAAUUGGUAUGUUUUAUAAAUUAACUGCCACUUGUAGGCGUAUUUGCUUCUUGCAGUUUCUCUUAUUUCUUUAUGUUCUCAUGUUCGUCCAAAAUGUGCAGGAAGACUGGUCCAAAUGUUUAAAGAUGUAUUGAGCUUAAUCCUGAUUUGAACCGUGUGAUGAUAAUCUACGCAAAAUUCCCUGUCGACAUUUGGACGGUCUCUUGUCAAGCAUUGUCAAGUUAUCACACACACACACACAUUGUAUUCUAUCUACGUAUACCCUUUUCAUGAACACCAAGACCGCACACACUCAAGCUGUGGGCCUAUAAAUGAAUUGAGUAACGGAUGACUUUCUGACCUGUGCUCGAAGGUUCUGCCAACGAUCCAUUGAUUUAUUACUUGUUUUACCCACCUCCGUGAAUUGGUGGUUCCGUUUCAGGUAACUUUAAAUUAUGACGUCAAGGUCUUUUUUUGUCAACUCUGGAAAGCUGAGCACCUUCAUUGAGGAGGAAGAAAAGGAUGAGGAUGAGGAAGAGGAGGAGGAUGAGGAUGUAAAGAAUGAGGGAGGAGUAAUAGGAAGAGGAUAGUUAUUGGUAGAAGACGGAUAUAACCUUGGUUGUUAUUAAUUAAAACAGACGAUUUGAGUUAUGUGUUUAGAAUCUAUUUCAGAGUUAAAAAGAUCUGUCAGGAUGUCUUUUACUAAUAAGCUUAUUUUUUGUUCCACUGACA